GACGAACGCUGGCGGCGUGCUUAACACAUGCAAGUCGAACGGAAAGGCCCUGCUUUUGUGGGGUGCUCGAGUGGCGAACGGGUGAGUAACACGUGAGUAACCUGCCCUUGACUUUGGGAUAACUUCAGGAAACUGGGGCUAAUACCGGAUAGGAGCUCCUGCUGCAUGGUGGGGGUUGGAAAGUUUCGGCGGUUGGGGAUGGACUCGCGGCUUAUCAGCUUGUUGGUGGGGUAGUGGCUUACCAAGGCUUUGACGGGUAGCCGGCCUGAGAGGGUGACCGGCCACAUUGGGACUUAGAGACGGCCCAGACUCCUACGGGAGGCAGCAGUGGGGAAUAUUGCACAAUGGGCGGAAGCCUGAUGCAGCAACGCCGCGUGCGGGAUGACGGCCUUCGGGUUGUAAACCGCUUUCGCCUGUGACGAAGCGUGAGUGACGGUAAUGGGUAAAGAAGCACCGGCUAACUACGUG
rnacentral:rRNA from 1 species